UGGGGCGUGGCCAAGCGGUUGGUUAUGGCGUAGGGUUUUGAUCCCUAUACUGGAGGUUCGAAUCCUCCCGUCCCCA
rnacentral:tRNA from 1 species